CCUGUUAGACAUCCAAUAACAGCUGAGCAUCAUCAGUAUAUCAGUGAUACUGAAUCCCAAACCACUGGAUAAGUUUUCCCAAUGGUCUCAUAUAAAUAUAAAAUAAGAGAGGGAGACCAUCAACUCCUGUGGCACCCCACCUCCAAGUUCAUACAAGUCAGCAGUGGAGAAUGGCAACAUCACCCCUAGCUGUAGAACAUGUGUCUGAUUUUUAUUGGGACUCCCCCAAAUGCAGAGAAAAUAAGUCCAUCAAGAUCUUGCAAGCGCUGAGUUAUAUGGAAGCUUGGAUCGUGGAAUGGAGGGAUCCAGUCCAACAGAGCAGCAACAGCUGGAAUGACCAUAUGGGAGACAGGCUGAGCCUGAGCUGAGGGAGCCACAGCUGCAGUAGGUUAACCUAGAGGCUCCAACGCAGAACAUGAGCAGCUACCAGCAGUCAACAAAGAUGAGGAGGUGAAGUCCAUGUCUCUUCCCAAUCUAAGGAUGCACAAGGCAGAAAGGAGGCAGGUGCAAUGCCGGUUGGCCAGGCUACUUAUGAGGAGGCAACUUUGCCCAUUGUGAAGGGUCACAUCAGCAUUGGCGAUUUAAUCCUGCCCUAAGAGAUGGGCAUUGCUGGAACAACAUCUCCAGUUCCUUGUUCUGUGUUCCGUUUUUCUGCAACUUACUCCUUGAACUCAUGUUUGGACUUUGGACUGACUCUGGACUGUGUAUUGCAUUUUGUGGACUGAGCUUUACCAAAAACUCCCGUAUCACACUAGUUUUGUUCAAUGUGGCAGCUGAACAUGCUUGUUGUGUGGACUUUUUUUGAAAUGCUGGGGAUUUGAAUAAAGCCAUUAACUCACAGUGAUGUGUGUAU